rnacentral:rRNA from 1 species
AGGUAGUGACAAGAAAUACCGAUGCGGGACCCUACGGGUGCCGCGUUCGGAAUGAGUACGAUUCGAACCACCUAACGAGGAACGAUCGGAGGGCAAGUCUGGUGCCAGCAGCCGCGGUAAUUCCAGCUCCAAUAGCGUACGUUAAAGUUGCUGCAGUUAAAAAGCUCGUAGUUGAACGUUCGGGGUUCCGCGGGACGGGGCCGCCCCGCGAGGGACGGCGCCGCCCCGGGGCUCGUGAUAUCUCAUCUCGCCGCCCGUCGCGAGGCGGACGGAGGGAUGGAUGAGGUUACCUGGAAAAAAUCGGGGCGAUCUAGGCGGGCGAACCUCGCCAACGAACGAUCGGACAUGGGAUAACGGAAGAGGGCGUCGGCUCGACUUCGUCGGUUCCUCGGGCCGAGGCACGUACGGUGAAUAGGGACG